GCAUGCGUGGUGUAGUGGUUAACACUGUUGUUUUAUGAUUUUUCGGCGCGGGUUCGAUUCCGAUGGCCGUCA